UACGAAGGGGGCUAGCGUUGUUCGGAAUUACUGGGCGUAAAGCGCACGUAGGCGGACUGGUCAGUUAGGGGUGAAAUCCCGGGGCUCAACCCCGGAACUGCCUUUAAUACUGCCAGUCUAGAGUCCGGAAGAGGUGAGUGGAAUUCCGAGUGUAGAGGUGAAAUUCGUAGAUAUUCGGAGGAACACCAGUGGCGAAGGCGGCUCACUGGUCCGGUACUGACGCUGAGGUGCGAAAGCGUGGGGAGCAAACAGGAUUAGAUACCCCGGUAGUCCCUGAGCGGGCUGGCAA
rnacentral:rRNA from 1 species